CCCGAAGUGUCUCAUUCCUUACACAGACUAUGUUUUUCUGUGCUUUCAUGUGCAUCUAUGUGCAAUCAGUAGCUGCUAAACGCUAACCGCAGAGCUCUAACAAAAAAGAUGAAGCAACUGGUGAAGUCAAUAUUUCAUGAGAUUCAUUACACGAAAUGCUGUGUAAAUGUGCUAAUUGCUUGUUGCAUCAUUAUAAAUUCACUUUAAUAACCGAGUGAUUUUGUCUCCAUUAGUGAAGUGCAUUAUUUAGACUGCUUCAAGAAGAGCCAAAAAUCUUGGCCUCUCUUCAAAACAUGCGGCAAAGUAAUCGUUGUGCAAAUAGUGCCAUCAGGGUGAUCUGUUCCGCGCAAUGCCAGUCAGCAGCUAGUUGUGCAUGGCGAAGAUUGAGUAGGACCAUCAACAGUCAGUCAGGCUGCCUGAGUCACUUCACUCCUCCGAGGAGUAGCAUCUCUCCGGAGUUCAGCUUCAUGGGAAGUGACAGGUUCCUUAAGAAUUUCAUUGCAUCCUGGAAGAAGCUGGCUUGGCAUGCAGUGUGGAAUAACGGAAGAGGUGCAGGUUAUUAGGAUGUAUGGAAAACAGGCAGUGUGGUGGAGUUUACAGUAUGUAGUGGGAAAACACCAAAUGUUUGGCAUGGUUGUGCACUUGCCAGGGGAAAGCCAAAAACGUAAACAUCUAUUUCUUGAAGGUGUAAAAACUCAACGUUACAGCUAUACCUCUGACUUUUACAAGCACUGACACUGGAGACUCCUCCUUAUAUAAAACUGCACUAUCAGUACAAUUGCAGACAUUUUUAAUCCGUUUAUGUAGAGUAUUCACCUGUGAACGAGUCGUUACUAUAGAAAUGAUAACAUAUUAGAGUGUACACAUUAAUAUAAACCUGCGAUUUGACAAUAUGAAGGGUAUAAUCUUUCAAAAAAAAUGUCUCUGGUUUAAUCAUAUGUUCACAAUACACUGGAUGGCAACAUUUUCCAUUUUGUUUUAACUCAUCUCAAGCUGCCAGAUGUUCUGAUUUGUGACGUGGCUCCAUUCUCACAUGAAAAAAAGGAAAGCAAGAACAAAGUAAAAAAUAAAAAUAAAAAAUAAAAAAUAAAAAUUAAAAAGUCUGAACCCACUGUCUUAGAGCUCCCCAUUUGAAUAAUCCUUGACUCUUCGAGAAGGCCGUGCUUUUUCUUUUUGGUUGGCAUCAUUUCACGCCUUAAUAGACUGCUUUGAGAAUAAAUGAGGAGAUUAUACGACACGAUCCAGUCUGGCAAACACAGUCCUGAGAAGCUGAGGUGUCGCUCCAUUAAUUGAAAUAGGGCUGUUUUACGUCCUGGGCUCUGCCAAAUGGUAUUUGUGCUGAAUGGCUGGUGCCAGCCGCUGCAUGCAGAGUUGCAGGUUCUUAUCGGGAAAACGAUGCCACUGCUGCUGAUCCCUAAAUGAGAUUUCAUCCGUGGCUUCAUGGAUUAGACGAGUGAAGAGAUUCAGUUGUCACACAUUAUCUCUGCAGUGUGUAAACAGAGAUGAAGCAGAAGCUACGUGACAGUAGACUCACAUGCCUCCACUUUUCAGUAUGAAAAAGAACAAAAACAAACAGAAGCAUGUGGCAGCAUCCAUGAUCCGGUUCAUGGAUUGAAGGUUCUAGCUUUAAUACAGAUAAAUGUCGGGCUCGAUUUGAGGUCAAAGGCAAGGGGGUGGCUUCUAUUUAUACACCGUAUCUGAAUGGACAUAUUGGGAGAUUUUCAUGUAGAGUGUUAGUAGAAAUUGUCCAAAAAUGAUAUUUCAGGCAUCCCAUUCAUCUAUCCGGUUUCAAUGCUGCUUAUCUUACACAGGGUCGUGUGAAGCAUGGAGCAUAACCCAGGGAACUCAGGACACAAGGCAGGGGACACACUGGACAUGGUGUACACAUAUAAUUAUAUAUAUUAUAUGUGUACAUUAUAACUGCUAAAACUAGCACACAUACUUCAGACUAUACUUGUUCAUGCUCGACGUAAAGUAAACAUUCUUAUUUGACCAAAAUGAAUGUCAGAAUAAUCCAUCCAUCUAUCCAUCCAUCCAUCUAUCCUCUAUACCGCUUAUCCUCUUCAGGGUCCCGGGGAACCGGGAGCCUAUCCCAGGGAGCAUCGGGAACAAGGCGGGGUACACCCUGGACAGGGUGCCAAUCCAUGUCAGAAUAAUAUCAUGUUUAAUGAGCAUUCUUCUGCACAAACAUUUAUCCCGGAUUAUGUAAGCGUUCUGUAUAUCACAACAAAACAAGAUGUCUUGUACAUAAGAAGAAAAAAAAAACAAACACUCAGGUGGCCUAGUUGCCACCUUGUUAUCAUUAGUAUAUGACAAAUCCUGAAUAAAUAUCCUGUCAUGGUAGCUCAUGGUAGGCUAAUGCUAGUCUGGACUCCUCAUGAGAGUAGGACCGUUUGCUUUUUGAGCUUAACAUUAUUGCGAAACACAACAAACGAUCCACUUUUAAAAUCACAGCCAUGUCCUUGACUCAUUGACAAAGAAAGUGAAUUUGCAAUUCUUCCACAACAAUUCACUCACGAUAAUCCUUUUUUUCCAUCACGUGCUGAAAAGCUACCGCAUGUAAUCCACUGAUUUAUAUGUUAGCUACACUGCACCAUGUUUGCUGUAGACUAUAAACUGUUGUUGUCUAUAUAACACAUAAAUAUUUAAUCUACUGAAUAAAACCUGGACGUCUAACGUAAACCGUACUGUCUUAAAGUGUACACUUAAGUCUAUAUUUAAGCUAAUUUAUUUUUAGCUCGUUGUUUUAUUUCUAUUUCAGAUGUAAUGGCUAUAAUAUGUGAAGGGAUAUUUCAGACAUGUGACCAUUCUUAAGAAAAAAAGUGUCACACCUGUAAUACAAGAUUUUAUUUUUCUCCCAGUUAUGUUUACAUCAACACACAUAUCUUAAUCUUAAUCUUAUUCAAAGGUUGAAUUUCACUCUGUCCAUGCAAUGUCACUUUCAUAAAGCUGAUAAGUAAGGAAUAGAGUACAAACAUUUGGGGACAUGUUUUUACAGGGAAAUCAUCAUGGUUCGGUGGUGUGAGAAGUUACUGCUACUUCCUGGAAGUUAAUUAUUGUCUUAUAAUUUUUAUUUACUUAUUUUUUAUACAUUUUACACUAAAGAAAUUGGCCAACGGUUUUUAUUUAUUUACUUUCUCUGCUUUCACAACAUGUGCUUUUGUUUACAUUGCCAUGUGUCUUUCUUUCUGUUUUGGUUAAGUCUCUAGUUUGUUGCCCUAGUGUGUUCACCUGUUCUGUGUUUAGUCUUUAAUUAGCUUGCAUAUAUUUAUACUCCGUGUGAGUGUGUAUGUGAUUGUGCCCUGCGAUGGACUGGCACCCUGUCCAGGGUGUACCCUGCCUUGUGCCCGAUGCUCCCUGGGAUAGGCUCCAGUCCAUCGCAGGGCACAAUCACAUACACACUCACACACCCAUUCAUACACUACGGACACUUUGGACACGCCAAUCAGCCUACCAUGCAUGUCUUUGGACUGGGGGAGGAAACCAGAGUACCGGGAGGAAACCCCCGCAGCACGGGGAGAACAUGCAAACUCCGCAC
ensembl:lncRNA